UACGUAGGGAGCAAGCGUUGUCCGGAAUUACUGGGUGUAAAGGGAGCGUAGGCGGGAUGGCAAGUUGGGUGUUAAAUCUACCGGCUCAACUGGUAGUCGCACUCAAAACUGCUAUUCUUGAGUGAAGUAGAGGCAGGCGGAAUUCCUAGUGUAGCGGUGAAAUGCGUAAAUAUUAGGAGGAACACCAGUGGCGAAGGCGGCCUGCUGGGCUUUUACUGACGCUGAGGCUCGAAAGUGUGGGGAGCAAACAGG
rnacentral:rRNA from 1 species